GGUCCACGGGGAUCUACAAUGGUGUAGAGUGUAGUUUUUCUUUAAAAGAUCAUACUUUAAGUGUCAUAGAAAGCACUCAUUUCACUACGCUUGCUGCUUGGAACCUUUCUGCUCAUAUUUCUCGCGAAGAGGUGUAUAUAGACUGCUACAAACUAACAACCGUUGAAGAUGAUCUGUGGUUCUAUGCAGAUGCGGAAAAAUUAUAUGUCUUUAGGACAUUACCUCCAACACACCAACAAUCUUCUCGCCUGCCACGUCCAACACGGGUUCUUUCAAGUUCGUUUUCUCCUGAUGGCUCCCGACUUGCAACUUGUACCUCAGAUGGAUAUAUCAACAUAUGGAAUGUCCAUACGAACCAAGUUGAGCAGCGUUUCAAAAGAGAUCAAGGCGAUUCAUCAUUUGUUUGUUGGUGGUCGGAAAAAUUUUGUUCGUGUUUGAUUUUUUUGACAGGAUUCCCAGCUUAUCAAAAUACC